CCUACGGGAGGCAGCAGUGGGGAAUAUUGCGCAAUGGGCGAAAGCCUGACGCAGCGACGCCGCGUGCGGGAUGAAGGUCUUCGGAUCGUAAACCUCUGUCAGCAGGGAAGUACGGUCACUGUGCUAAUCAGCAGUGAAUUGACGGUACCUGCAAAGGAAGCACCGGCUAACGCCGUGCCAGCAGCCGAGGUAAUACGGAGGGUGCGAGCGUUAAUCGGAAUUACUGGGCGUAAAGCGCUCGUAGGCGGUAUGUCAAGUCAAGGGUGAAAUCCCCGCGCUCAACGUGGGAACUGCCUUUGAAACUGGCGAACGGGAGUGUGUGAGAGGAUAGUGGAAG
rnacentral:rRNA from 1 species